rnacentral:rRNA from 1 species
UACGAAGGGUGCAAACGUUGCUCGGAAUCAUUGGGCGUAAAGCGCACGUAGGCGGCUUCGCAAGUCGGAUGUGAAAUCCCUCGGCUCAACCGAGGACGUGCAUCCGAAACUGCGGAGCUUGAGUAUGGAAGAGGGUCGCGGAAUUCCCGGUGUAGAGGUGAAAUUCGUAGAUAUCGGGAGGAACACCAGUGGCGAAGGCGGCGACCUGGGCCAAUACUGACGCUGAGGUGCGAAAGCGUGGGGAGCAAACAGG